AACUGGAGUUUGCUAUUCAGUGGGUUCAUCACAUAUUUGACAGCGGCUUAGUUACCCUCUUGCUGAGAAGUGAGGAGGCUUGUGCUGAUAAGUAGAGGCGGAGGCGGUCCCAAGACUUGAGGAACUCAUCAAUGCAAGAUUGGCUGACGCAGCACUUACUGGAGAGACUUUCCACAAAAACAACAUAGUUUUAGAGCAGGGCGAUCUACAAUUGAUACGUUUAAGGAAGUGAUCUAAGUGGUGAGACAGGAUAACAAAUGCAAUUGCUGCUGUCGAUGAUCUGUUUGCAACGCUAACUGGUACCUAUUGCAGAUACUGAAGGGCCAAUUAAAUGAGGGCAACAUACUCUACGAAAACAUGGUUUCCUGUUGAACACCUCAUACGAUAGUCUUCUGUGACUAGAGAUGCUUGAUGAACAGCAUCUGGUCAGAUAUGAGGAUGAUAUUGCGGCGCUAUUUGCUGCAGGCACGAUCGAAGAAGCUCAGUAUACACGGAUAGUCAAUAGAUGGUUGACUGUGGAUAGAUUGUCUCUAGUUUCAAAGAAAACCAAAGUGGCCGUCCUGACCUAGGAGAGGGUUCCCACAGUCCUCCAUAUGUCGAUUUGUGAAGUCAUGGUCUUGUCGAAGCCGGUGAUGAAAUACCGGGGCAUGAUGAGCGGCAGUGCACACAUCUCUACCUUGUGACCGGUGAGAAUUGGUAAUAAGAUUCGAACGCUCUUCUUCAUGAUUGAAUUCUCUUUCAUAUUUCGCCACAAGCACUGAGGAUUGU